AAGGAGGUCUUGCAGCUUCCUCAAAAUCGAAGGACCUUUCAUGGUUUGGUGCCAAGGUCAGUGUGCAGUGCAGGACUGCUGCAGGCUUGACUUGACUAGAGAGUAUUGGGAGCACAAAGAUUGUUUCAGGUCAGGUGGAAUUUAUUAUUUAUGGAGAGUCUCUAUGAACACUGGUUACAGAGAGGAAGAUACUUUGUGAUACUCUGAUAGUUUGUGCUUGAGACUAAACUGUGUAUAAAUUUAGACCAUGUUGUAUUGUUUGAUAAGUGUGCUGCUCCAUCAUUCAGUGAAGACAGGGUGUUCGCAUUUUAAAUGGCUUUUUAGAUUUCUGCGAAAGUCAAAGCAAGCAAAAGAAGUCAAAUCUUGCUGCAAACAUACAUCGAGUCCUCUGCUUCUUCAGCAUCUGUUUCUCUGUCCGUGGGGAAAAGAUUAUCAUUCAGGUUAAUUGAGGAGUCAGCUCUGACUGACCAGAGCUCUCUUGGCUGAAAACAGACUUGGUUUUACUUUAAACGUCUGAAAUAAGGUCAAGUUUCAUUUUGUCUUAGAGAUGAAAUGAGGGGUUUACUGAGAGAGCUCCAGCCAGCUCACAGCGGUGUCUGUGGGCGGGACUGGCUGGCCGGCAUGGCUGGCUGGGCUAGUGACCCUCGUGGGUGCUGGCUUCCUGUUACACAAUUGAUUUCUCGCCUCAGAAAUUCUCAGAAGUGGACUUAAUGGUGAAGUAGCAUAUGGCAAUUGAUAACACAUUGCAUUAAGGGGAACAAAAUUUUAAGUGAUCAAAUUUUUUUCGAGCUAAUGAUUUGUCAGUGAUUGGUUAAUUGAGAAGAAACUGAUUAAUCUGACGACACAGGAGGAGAACGUGAUGAAUGUGUGGAGGGAGUUGCUGGUUGUUGUGGUCGUCUAUUAGCUGGCGUAUCUUUACCUCGAAGCUCAUGACUCUUUAAAUGUGGGUGUUGUUGGAGAAACGUGACCUCUCACUGUCAUAGGUUAGGCUGAGCAGGCAGAGCACUGAGUUAUGACACUUCUGUGUUGCUCCUGCCAACAAACUACGGAGGCGCAUCAUCCUGACCGCCCUACGCACAGCACUGGUGUCGACUGACUCAGAGAAGUUUAACACCAAAGUGUACUUCAGAUGUCUGAUAAUCAUUAAUAAUCAGCGUGAGCCAAUAGUGAGCAGUACAAAUGCAUCACUCUGUGGACGGGCCUUUACGGCGGCCUGGGUUUGGAAUUAGUUUGUGAGAGGAAAAUAUGAGGCGAUGGGAGUUAUGAAGUGUGAGGAUAAAUAUUUGUCAUUUCUUUGUUGUGAUGGAACAUGAAGUGAAAAAAUGUCCUUGAGGCUGUGUCACCGACAGCAAUUAGCCGGCAGUUAUGAGAGACAGCAGUGGGAGUUUGGAGGAGUGAGGCACACUGCAGCAAACAGUUUGAAAGAGUCCACUGAAAGUGAUGAAAUGUAUUAGACUCCACAAUCUGCUGGGGUGUAAUUGGGCUGUUCUCACACUGCUGAGAGUCAGUUGGACCUUUUGUACACUGCAGGGUUGAAAAGCAUGAUGGGAGCAAAUCUCGCUGUUAGAGGUUUUUAUUUAUUGUGAGCCAACACUCUUUCAGAGCUCAGAUCAAGGAGUAUUUUUCUUUUUUAAAUCUGUCUCAUGCCUUGCUUUCAGUUUGAUCUACGUGUUCCAACUGUUUUUGCCGCGGGUGUAAUUUGUGAUUUAGGAAGCAGGGAUCGCUUUCAGUUUUGUUUCUCUUAAAGGGAGAGCAGCCUAUUUUCCCCUUGUUUGCUAUAGAAUAGUUGUGAGAAUGACUUAAUCAGCAGAGACCCUGGGCAUGUGUGUGGGCGUUUGGCAGAGAUUUCCAUACUUCCUUUCACUCCUCGGUCUCAAAGGUCCUGGAGUGAACUUUGUCACUACAGACAGAGCCAAGCACUCUGUGGUUUUCACUUUAAAUUCCUCUAACUGACAAUACGGAAACAGGCUGCACAGAGGGACAUUUCUUGAGGCAAACUGUUUUUGGCAGAAGAGGACAGACUCGUGCACGAUGGCAGGAUCAGACUGGACGUGUAGUCUCUCCACUACGCAUGAAUGGGAGUCCCCGGAUUAUGAGCCGUCUCUUCCUGUUUCGGAGAAGUCCAAUCCCCUGACGCGUGACAUCGACCGGGCUUCAGCCAGUCGUAUUGUGAGGAUGUUACAGGCGUGUGACGCUCAGAUGUUUCAAGAAGAGACAGGAGAGAUCUACCAGAGGCUUUUGAGUGAGCACGUGUUGGAAACACUGGUGGAGGUCGCCAAGAGGGUGGAGCUUAUUGUCAAGGAUCCUCAGGACAGCCUUGUUGUGCUGAGCGGAUGUGGGACAUCUGGUCGAAUUGCUUUCCUCAUCACGUCGGUUUUCAACAGAGCGCUGAGGGAGAUGAACCAGAGUCCGGUGUAUUCUUACAUCAUUGCAGGAGGAGACAGAGCUCUGCUGUCCUCGCAAGAAGCUCCUGAGGAUGACGCUGUAAUGGGCAUGCUCAGUCUGAAGAAGGCCUGCGAGGGAAAGAGGCGUGUCUUGUUCAUUGGUAUUUCGUGCGGAUUAUCUGCUCCGUUUGUGGCCGGUCAGCUGGACCUCUGCCUGCAGCACCCUGAGGUCUACACUCCUGUGCUCAUUGGCUUCAAUCCUACACAUCAGGCCAGGGAUGAGCCCAUUCCAGGCUGCAAGUUCACUUUCCGCAGUGUGGUGCGAAGAAUGCAGGAGCUUGCCAAAAGCCAGAAGGCCUUCCUCAUCAACCCAGCAGUUGGGCCAGAAGCCAUCAGUGGCUCUUCCAGGAUGAAGGGAGGCAGCGGCACCAAGAUUCUUCUGGAGGUUGUCCUGUUCGCUGCUCACGCUGCCACCUUCACAAACACACCCGUCGCAUACAAGGGCAUCCUGCAGCACAUGAGAGCAUAUGAGGAAUCUGCAGAAAUCACUUAUGCUCAGAUUGAGGGGAUAGCUGCUCUACUGGAGGCAGCUGGGCAGAGUUUGCGUAGUGGCGGGCGUGUUUGUUACCUGGGCUGGGGCUCCUUGGCUGUGCUGGGCCUUAUUGACGCCAGUGAGUGUAAUCCCACGUUCGGCGCAGACUACGAAGAUGUCCGAGGCUUCAUCAGUGGAGGAUACAGAGAGCUGAACAACAAUGAGGGUUCCCUGAUUUCGCUGGGUCCUGACUUUUGCAUCUCACAUGAGGACUUCUUGCGUCUCGUUCUGCCCUCCCUCAGUGACCAGGACACUGUGCUUCUUAUCUACACACAUCCCGACGAUGUCAGUGAAGUGGCAAAGUUGGCACGUAAAGUGAGAGAGAAGACGUCCCACCUCCAUGCUGUUUAUCAUGAGGCUGAUGGAGACACUGCAGCUGCCGUACCACAAGAUGACAUCAACAGUCUGUGUUUAUCCUCACUGAAAAUCACUUGGCCAUCACCUGCGUCAGGGAACUUACUGCACAUGCAGUGGGAGCUGUCCACUAAGCUGCUGCUGAAUGCCGUGAGCACCGGAGCUCACGUCCUAAAGGGGAAGAUUUACCAGAACCACAUGAUUGACGUGCAGGUCACCAACAGCAAACUCUACGGCAGGGCCAUACAUUUACUCCAGAAGCUGUCUGGUCUUCCUGAGUCCCAGUGUGAGGAGGCUCUCCUGAAGGCUGUCUACCAAGUGGACGAGCUGACAGUGAACAUUAUAUCAUCUGACAUCAGCACACACACUCGCGCUGCGAGGAAGAGAAGCAAGGUGGUCCCCCUGGCUUUGGUCUGCUUGCUGACUGGUUGUUCUCUCGUGGAGGCAGAGUCUCAUUUGGAGCAACAGCCAAUCGUACGGGAGGCUGUGGAGGCGUGCCUGUCAUAACUGACAUGGCAUGAUGUCAUCGUCAAGCCCCUUCAAGCGAACAUCAUGUCAGUUGAGUCCUUACCUGGAAUCUGAGAACUACAAGAAGAGAAGAAGAGAGGCAGAAGACGUGAGAAGAAGAAAUGAGAAGGCGGAGGAGAGGAGAGAAAAAGAGGAGGAGUGGGAUUCAUGUUAAAGAGGAUUAGACCUGCCUGAGCCACCUGUGUCCCCGGACUGAUAAGCCUUGUUCCAUGACAGAUCAGGCUCUAACAGACGCAGUCCCACACAGAAACGAGAGAGGCUGGUGUGCAGAGGCUCAGCUGUCACUUCUCAUGGCCUGAGUUCUGGGAUGAGCGGCGGUGCUUCCAUCAGGAGUUUGUAUAUGAUGUCGCCAUGUUCGCCGCAGCCUGUGGCUUCCCCUGGCCUGAUGUGAUACGGGCAGCUGUCAUCGCCAAGGACCUCUUCCCACAGCUGGAUGGUCUCGAUGUACCCAAACUAUUGUCCUUGCUAAGAGACGUGCUUGUCUGAGUGUUUGCCAAGCCUUACAUCUGUCCACCGACACGAGCUCACCCAGUUCCUCAUGGACACGUGCAUCACCCGACGGAGGCUUUUCCAGGCUGUGGUGGGUGGAGCUGUGAACAUGUCCGUCACUCAGCUGCACUUGGACGUGCAGUUGCCACCUACACCGUGUCCUCUAGCGCAGGGUUCAGAUAUACACGAGUGGGAGCAUCGGCGUCAUCAAGCUGAGCUCACCUCAAAGUUGCUUGAGAAGGAGAGGCAGCUGAAGGUGCUUCGAGAAGGGCCAAGGUUCACUCUCGGGGAGGUGGAUGCUCCUGAGGACGUGCAGCUGGACAAAGAGCACUGUGUCUGUUAUUCUGUGCAGGGGGUUUUGGUUUUGGUUCGUGCUGCAGUGAAAGCUGCAGAAAACCAGAUGCUGGAAAGUCUGACCCAAGAGGCGUCCCUGCUCGGUGACAUCGUGCAGCUCAAGCUGCAGCGGGCAGCACUGGCCACUGGGAGGCUCCACAAUCCUGUUCCUGGCCCACAUCCAGACGCACCAGCAAAGACAAAACCACGCACAGCAAAAUCAAAAACAGGACUGAGGAAGUCUGGAAAUGCGGUGUGAAGAAAGGAAGCUGAGAGGAGGAAGACACUGCAAAUUAUUUAAUGUAACAAUCUUCAACAUUUUUGCUUAUGGUUGUUGAAGAUUUGUUGUAUUUCCUGCUUUAUGGUCCUCAACAUAUUGUGGGCUGUUGCCGUGGUAAUUUAAACACUCCUCAACCACAGCAGUAUUAAAUGUAUCUGAUCUUUUGCACACUCUGUGCUUAUGUGUUCACAAAGAUAAAGUCAUAAGAACUGGUUUCAUACAAGUAUUUAUUUUUUAAAAAAAGGCAUUCUUUAGAUCUGACACAAAAAGCUGCAAAGAAUUUUAUUAUAAAUAACAUCAAUAAUGAAAAAAGUCCCAUUUUCCACACAGCUUCAAAGCUGAAGAGCUCUAUUUUCCUGCAUUCAACGAUCAACAAUCAUAAAUAUUUAGCACCAAUACUGCAGCUUUUAAACAGAAAGCAACAACAAAAAUAAUCCAAAUAGAAACAAAAAUAUAAGAAGCUUCUAGUGCAAGGGUCAAGUAGUUUUAGGAAGCUAUUUUUCUUAAACUCAGGCCUCAAGCCCUGCUGGUUUUUCUUCCUGAAAACACAGCUAACACAUGAGAAAAGUGCAGCUCUGGUUAAAGCACCUGUAAACUGUCCCGAGAGGGUUAAGAGUUUCUACAGUAACAGUGCCUGUGGUAAAACCCUUCAGUGCACACCGGUGACCAGUUUGGAGUGCUUCCCUUAUUCAAAGCCACCUGGUCUUCAGGAUGGCUGAGUGUCCCCUUAAGACAAAGCACUCAGCUGCAGGUAACAGAAGUGCGUCAGUAGGCUGGCAAAGUCAUCUGCAUGCAGAUACAACAAGAAUACACAAAGUACAUUCAGCUUUCAGAACUCAGCUCUCCUAACUCUAACCUGUUUUGGUUUCGUAGAAAAGGUGGACGGAUGGACAAGAA